GCGGCCGAGUGAUCGAGUCGUGGAUGCUACACGAGUGAGAAUGCAGGCAUGAGUAGCGAAUGACGGGUGAGAAACCCGUCCGCCGAAUAACCAAGGGUUCCAGGGUCAAGCUAAUCUGCCCUGGGUAAGUCGGGACCUAAGGCGAGGCCGACAGGCGUAGUCGAUGGACAUCCGGUUGAUAUUCCGGAACCGGCGAAGAACCGCCCAUACUGAACCA
rnacentral:rRNA from 1 species